GACGAACGCUGGCGGCGUGCCUAAUACAUGCAAGUCGAGCGCAGGAAACUGACGGAACUCUUCGGAGGGAAGGCAGUGGAAUGAGCGGCGGACGGGUGAGUAACACGUAGGGAACCUGCCUCAAGGAUUGGGAUAACUCCGAGAAAUCGGAGCUAAUACCGGAUAGUUCAACGGACCGCAUGGUCCGCUGAUGAAAGGCGCUCCGGCGUCACCUUGAGAUGGCCUUGCGGUGCAUUAGCUAGUUGGUGGGGUAACGGCCGACCAAGGCGACGAUGCAUAGCCGGCCUGAGAGGGUGAUCGGCGACCCUGGGACUGAGACACGGCCCAGGCUCCUACGGGAGGCAGCAGUAGGGAAUCUUCCACAAUGGAAGAAAGUCUGAUGGAGCAACGCCGCGUGAGUGAUGAAGGUUUUCGGAUCGUAAAACUCUGUUGUAAGGGAAGAACACGUACGAGAGGGAAUGCUCGUACCUUGACGGUACCUUACGAGAAGGCCACGGCUAACUACGUGCCAGCCGCCGCCGUAAAAC
rnacentral:rRNA from 1 species